rnacentral:rRNA from 1 species
UACGGAGGGAGCUAGCGUUGUUCGGAAUUACUGGGCGUAAAGCGCGCGUAGGCGGCUUUGUAAGUUAGAGGUGAAAGCCCGGGGCUCAACCCCGGAACUGCCUUUAAGACUGCAUCGCUUGAAUCCGGGAGAGGUGAGUGGAAUUCCGAGUGUAGAGGUGAAAUUCGUAGAUAUUCGGAAGAACACCAGUGGCGAAGGCGGCUCACUGGCCCGGUACUGACGCUGAGGUGCGAAAGCGUGGGGAGCAAACAGG